GCGAACGCUGGCGGCAGGCCUAACACAUGCAAGUCGAACGAACUCUUCGGAGUUAGUGGCGGACGGGUGAGUAACACGUGGGAACGUGCCUUUUGGUUCGGAAUAACUCAGGGAAACUUGUGCUAAUACCGAAUGUGCCCUUCGGGGGAAAGAUUUAUCGCCAUUAGAGCGGCCCGCGUCUGAUUAGCUAGUUGGUGAGGUAACGGCUCACCAAGGCGACGAUCAGUAGCUGGUCUGAGAGGAUGACCAGCCACACUGGGACUGAGACACGGCCCAGACUCCUACGGGAGGCAGCAGUGGGGAAUCUUGCGCAAUGGGCGAAAGCCUGACGCAGCCAUGCCGCGUGAAUGAUGAAGGUCUUAGGAUUGUAAAAUUCUUUCACCGGGGACGAUAAUGACGGUACCCGGAGAAGAAGCCCCGGCUAACUUCGU
rnacentral:rRNA from 1 species